rnacentral:rRNA from 1 species
GUAGGGAAUAUUGGGCAAUGGUCGGAAGACUGACCCAGCCAUGCCGCGUGCAGGAAGACGGCCCUCUGGGUUGUAAACUGCUUUUAUCUGGGAAGAAAAAGGCCAUGCGUUGCAAAUUGCCGGUACCAGAUGAAUAAGCACCGGCUAACUCCGUGCCAGCAGCCGCGGUAAUACGGAGGGUGCGAGCGUUGUCCGGAUUUAUUGGGUUUAAAGGGUGCGUAGGCGGCUGAUUAAGUCAGCGGUGAAAGACUUCGGCUUAACCGGAGCAGUGCCGUUGAUACUGGUUGGCUUGAGUGUCGGAGGGGUACAUGGAAUUGAUGGUGUAGCGGUGAAAUGCAUAGAUACCAUCAGGAACACCGAUAGCGAAGGCAUUGUACUGGCCGACAACUGACGCUGAUGCACGAAAGUGUGGGGAUCGAACAGGAUUAGAAACCCCGGUAGUCC